AGCACAACUAAACAAUAACCAGAAAAAAUAAAUCUAAGACACUGUCACUCUGGAACUGUAACAACUAAAAUGUCAAAUUCCAUGGAGAAGCAACAAAGAACAAACAACGGCAAAUCGCCGGACUGGAAAAUUCAGUUGGAUGUGGGAGAAAAUGGGGUAGCUAUUAUCACUAUCAAUCGUCCACCUCUCAAUCUUCUUUCCGUUGAUGUGGUGUUGAGCUUGAAAGAGAAUAUUGAGGAAGCUAUGCGUAAAGAAAAUGUGAAGGCAAUUGUCAUAACUGGUUCACGAGGAAACUUUUCAGCAGGAUUUGAUGUAACAGCUUUUGGUGGAAAUCAACAAAAAAGGACACAGAGAGAACUGGGGUUUAUGUCAAUCGAAUUUAUCACUGACACAUUAGAAGCUGCAAGGAAGCCCAUUGUUGCUGCUGUUGAAGGUCUUGCUUUGGGAGGCGGAUUCGAAAUUGCACUAGCCUGUCAUGCUCGCAUAUCAACCUCUACCUCAAAAUUAGGUCUUCCCGAACUUCAGUAUGGGAUUCUUCCUGGGUUAGGAGGAACACAACGACUUCCUCGGCUGGUUGGCCUUCCAAAGGCUCUUAAAAUGAUUCUGAUGUCCAAGCGGGUAAGUGGAGAAGUAGCUUGCAAUAUGCGCCUUGUGGAUGCCAUAUCUCCACCAGAUCAGUUGCUUGGAUCAGCAUGUCAAUGGGCUUUGGAUAUAUUAGAAUGUAGAAGACCAUGGUCUAUCAAUCUUUUCAGAACUGACAGAUUAGCACCUCUGGCCGAAGCUAGGACAUUGCUAAAUUCUGCCAGAGCUCAGAUCCAGAAACAAAAUCCAAAUGUUAUCCACCCCUUGGUUUGUAUUGAUGUCAUUGAACAUGGCAUUCUUUGUGGUCCUCGUAAUGGACUAUGGAAGGAAGCAGAAGCUUUACAUGAACUUCGACAAUCUGAUAGUUGCAGGGGCUUAGUGCAUGUAUUCUUUGCGAAACAAAGCACUUCAAAGAUUCCUGGGAUUACUGAUAUGGGAUUGCGACCGAGGAAGAUUAACAAGGUCGCCAUACUUGGUGGGAGCUUGAUGAGUUCUGGAAUAGCAAUAGUGCUGUUACUUGCAAACCAUUAUGUAAUCAUGAAAUAUAUAGAUCAGAAUUCUCUGCAGAAUGGCAUUGACAGAGUUAAAGCCAAUUUGGAAGGGCAUUUUAAGCAAGGAAGGAUGACUCAAGAGCAUUAUAGAAAAACGUGCACUCUUUUAAAGGGUGUUUUGAGCUAUGAUGGCUUCAAAGACGUGGACCUAGUCAUAGAGGAUGUGCCUGACGUCGUCUCCUUGAAGCAGCAAACUUUUGCUGAUCUGGACGAGUGCUGCCCCCCUCACUGCAUUUUUGCUUCAAAUACUUGUACAGUCAACUUAGAUUUGAUUGGAGAAAGGAUGAAACCAUGUAGGGAGAUUGUUGGGAUCCACCUUUUUAGCCGACCCUCUGUCACUGAUCUCCUGGAAAUUGUCCGCACAGAGAGGACAUCCCCUCAAGUCAUUGUCGAUCUGUUAAACUUUGGAAGGAGGAUUCAAAGGACUCCUAUUGUAGUUCGGAAUUUUACAGGUUUUGCAGUCAGACGUAUGUGCUUCCCCUACUUGCAGGCAGCGAUGCUUCUCGUGGAACAUGGUGCUGAUGUGUAUCAGAUUGAUAAGGCUCUUGCUAGCUUUGGGAUGAAACUGGGUCCAUUUAGAAUGGUUGAUCAAGAUGGGUUUCAGUCUGCAACUGUGCAGGAUGCGAAAUUCCUUGAGACUUUUCCAGACAGAUCUUGCAAAUCAAAUUUGAUUCCAAUCAUGAGGAAAAAUAACCGUGAAGGUGAAUCCAAUUGCCAAGGCUUCUACACAUACAAUGACAAGGGUGAGGCAAGCCCAGAUCCCAAAAUAUCAAAAUAUAUAGAAAUGGCGAGAAGUAUGUCUGGUAUCACCAUUAAAUCAAAGUUGGCAACUUUGUCUGACGGAGAAAUUGUUGAGAUGAUUCUUUUCCCUGUCCUGAAUGAAGCAUGUCGGAUGAUAUCUGAGGCAAUUAUAGUGAAAUCCUCUGAUCUUGAUGUUGCUUCUGUUAUGGGUAUGGGGUUCCCCGCAUACAGGGGAGGCAUAAUUUUCUGGUCUCACUCUGUUGGCUCCAAAUAUAUUUGCUCGAAACUGGAAGAUUGGUCGAAGGAGUAUGGAGAGUUUUUCAAGCCUUGUGCAUACUUAGUCGAACGAGCUUCCAAGAAAUCUUCUUUGGGUAUGCCAAUUAAGCAGGCCAAGUCACCUUUGUAAGAUUGUGAUGAUGACAACAAAACAUCAUUCUGAUACGCGGUUCAUAUGUCAGAUAUUUGUGCAAUGUCAGUGUAAAGUUUCGUGCUAGCUGGGAUGUAUCCUCACAAUUCCAGUUGCUCGAUCUGUAUGUAUCAUUCACUUAACGGGGUCAUAGUGACCGAGAGUGCAGUUAUGUUUGUAUAAUGUCUCAUGGAUAGAGCUUGCACUGGAUGGAUGUAGAUGAAAAGUAAGAUGGUGCUGAUCACUGCAUUAAGUAUUCAUGUAAUUCAGGUGAAGUUUGUGUUCUAAAACUGUCAAUCUACAAUGUUAUUUUUUAGGUUUUCUUCAUGUCUAAGUCAAGCAGUAUCUACUUUAGAUGUUUACAACCGUCUUUGUGUGCAGUGGCGGAGCCACUCUUGUCCAAGGGGUGUCAAUUACAAUGUGAUAGGCACUGCAGGACUCUACUCUGCUGGAAGUGAACUCCUGCCCAAGUAUGGAUCUUUCCUUUUAAUUCUGAGAACCAACCACAUCUAGCAAACAAAUGCAGCUGACUCUCUGUUUCAUCCUCAUCACACAAGCAACAUCAAAUGAGAAGCCCUCAGCCUAUGAAGAGCUCCAGCACUAUGACUUCCCAAUUGGCAUUCUUCCUAAAGGGGUGAUAGGCUAUGAGUUGAACCCAAAAACCGGCGAAUUCUCGGCGUAUCUCAAUGGCUCAUGUAAUUUCAUGUUGAGUUCAUAUGAGCUAUAUUACAAGCCUGUGAUAAGAGGAGUUAUAUCCAAAGGCAGGCUCAGGAAAUUGAGUGGUGUUAGUGUUAAGGUUGUAUUGCUAUGGCUUAACAUUGUGGAGGUUAGGAGGAGAGGUGACAAUCUCCAAUUCUCAGUUGGGAUUACUUCUGCAAAUUUUCCUAUUAGGAGCUUUGUGGAAUGCCCUCGUUGUGAAUGUGGGCAAAAGCUCCUCGUGUCUUCCUCGUAGAGUCUAUCAGUGGCGUGUGCAAAAUUUUAUGUAAAUAGUAUCGGUCUAUUAUUACAACUCGUCUUGUUAAGGGGAUUAGUUCUGGGGUUAUCGGGUUCUAGAACUAUACUUUCUAUUCAAAUUUGAUGUUUACUUAUUUUCUUUUAACCGAUGCCACCAUAUCAAAAAUGUGGAUGUUGUAAUUUUUGCCACCAUAUUGUAUAUGUGCCUAUUGUUUUCUGAAACAAA